GACGAACGCUGGCGGCGUGCUUAACACAUGCAAGUCGAACGGAAAGGCCCUGCUUUUGUGGGGUGCUCGAGUGGCGAACGGGUGAGUAACACGUGAGUAACCUGCCCUUGACUUUGGGGUAACUUCAGGAAACUGGGGCUAAUACCGGAUAGGAGCUCCUGCUGCAUGGUGGGGGUUGGAAAGUUUCGGCGGUUGGGGAUGGACUCGCGGCUUAUCAGCUUGUUGGUGGGGUAGUGGCUUACCAAGGCUUUGACGGGUAGCCGGCCUGAGAGGGUGACCGGCCACAUUGGGACUGAGAUACGGCCCAGACUCCUACGGGAGGCAGCAGUGGGGAAUAUUGCACAAUGGGCGGAAGCCUGAUGCAGCAACGCCGCGUGCGGGAUGACGGCCUUCGGGUUGUAAACCGCUUUCGCCUGUGACGAAGCGUGAGUGACGGUAAUGGGUAAAGAAGCACCGGCGAACUACGU
rnacentral:rRNA from 1 species